rnacentral:lncRNA from 1 species
CCCUUCCCCAUUUUCCACGCCAUAAAAAAUUAGAAAACAUAAAGAGUUGCCUUCAUCUAGAAGGACUCUUCAUGGGGCACUAAUUCAAAAACAUCGAUGAUUUUUCUCAAUAUUUCUUCGAAGAGGCGCCAACCACCCCAAGGGGCGCCAACUCCAUGCAAUGGCUAGAUCUUCAUCCAAAGGCCAUAAAGCAAGGCAUUGUUGGGUUCUGAUUGCACAGCAGAAUAUGAUUUUCAAAAUUUUCAUAUGCGUUUAACAAUUGA